rnacentral:tRNA from 1 species
UCCCCGCCAGUAUGGUGGAUAUGACUCUCGGCUUGUAACCGAGUGAACUCGGAUUCGAAUCCCAAGUAAGGAA